UGUAGCGGUGAAAUGCGUAGAGAUCUGGAGGAAUACCGGUGGCGAAGGCGGCCCCCUGGACGAAGACUGACGCUCAGGUGCGAAAGCGUGGGGAGCAAACAGGAUUAGAUACCCUGGUAGUCCACGCUGUAAACGAUGUCGACUUGGAGGUUGUGCCCUUGAGGCGUGGCUUCCGGAGCUAACGCGUUAAGUCGACCGCCUGGGG
rnacentral:rRNA from 1 species